ACCAGAAAUCGGGGGGCCAACCCGCAAGGGGGGUAGCCGCUUAAGGUAUGGUCGGUGAUUGGGGUGAAGUCGUAACAAGGUAGCUGUAGGUGAACCUGCAGAAGAAUCA
rnacentral:rRNA from 1 species